GAGGAAAAGAAACUAACCAGGAUUCCCCUAGUAACUGCGAGUGAAGCGGGAAAAGCUCAAAUUUAAAAUCUGGCGGUCUCAGACUGUCCGAGUUGUAAUCUAGAGAAGUGUUAUCCGCGUUGGACCGUGUACAAGUCCCUGGAAUGGAGCGUCAUAGAGGGUGAGAAUCCCGUCUUUGACACGGACUGCCAGGGCUUUGUGAUGCGCUCUCAAAGAGUCGAGUUGUUUGGGAAUGCAGCUCAAAAUGGGUGGUAAAUUCCAUCUAAAGCUAAAUAUUGGCGAGAGACCGAUAGCGAACAAGUACCGUGAGGGAAAGAUGAAAAGAACUUUGGAAAGAGAGUUAAACAGUACGUGAAAUUGCUGAAAGGGAAACGCUUGAAGUCAGUCGCGUGGCCAGGGAUCAACCUUGCUUUUGCUGGGUGUACUUUCUGGUUAACGGGUCAACAUCAAUUUUGAUUGUUGGAAAAAGAUUAAAGGAAUGUAGCAUCUUCGGAUGUGUUAUAGCCUUUGGUUGUAUACAACAGUUGGGAUUGAGGAACUCAGCACGCCGAAAGGCCGGGUUUUAACCACGUUCGUGCUUAGGAUGUUGGCAUAAUGGCUUUAAUCGACCCGUCUUGAAACACGGACCAAGGAGUCUAACAUGCUGCGAGUGUUUGGGUGGAAAACCCGAGCGCGUAAUGAAAGUGAAAGUUGAGAUCCCUGUCGCGGGGAGCAUCGACGCCCGGACCAGAAAUUUAUGGACGGUUCCGCGGUAGAGCAUGUAUGUUGGGACCCGAAAGAUGGUGAACUAUGCCUGAAUAGGGUGAAGCCAGAGGAAACUCUGGUGGAGGCUCGUAGCGAUUCUGACGUGCAAAUCGAUCGUCAAAUUUGGGUAUAGGGGCGAAAGACUAAUCGAA
rnacentral:rRNA from 1 species